rnacentral:rRNA from 1 species
UAGGGAAUCUUCGGCAAUGGACGAAAGUCUGACCGAGCAACGCCGCGUGAGUGAAGAAGGUUUUCGGAUCGGAAAACUCUGUUGUUAGAGAAGAACAAGGACGUUAGUAACUGAACGUCCCCUGACGGUAUCUAACCAGAAAGCCACGGCUAACUACGUGCCAGCAGCCGCGGUAAUACGUAGGUGGCAAGCGUUGUCCGGAUUUAUUGGGCGGAAAGCGAGCGCAGGCGGUUUCUUAAGUCUGAUGUGAAAGCCCCCGGCUCAACCGGGGAGGGUCAUUGGAAACUGGGAUACUUGAGUGCAGAAGAGGAGAGUGGAAUUCCAUGUGUAGCGCUUAAAUGCGUAGAUAUAUGGAGGAACACCAGUGGCGAAGGCGGCUCUCUGGUCUGUAACUGACGCUGAGGCUCGAAAGCGUGGGGAGCAAACAGG